rnacentral:rRNA from 1 species
AACGGUAACGGCAAGAACAAUCCUUCGGGUGCGUUCUUGGACGACGAGUGGCGGACGGGUGAGUAAUGCAUAGGAAUCUGCCCAGUAGCGGGGGACAACCUGGUGAAAACCAGGCUAAUACCGCAUACGCCCUACGGGGGAAAGCGGGGGACCUUCGGGCCUCGCACUAUUGGAUGAGCCUAUGUCUGAUUAGCUUGUUGGUAGGGUAACGGCCUACCAAGGCGACGAUCAGUAGCUGGUCUGAGAGGACGAUCAGCCACACUGGGACUGAGACACGGCCCAGACUCCUACGGGAGGCAGCAGUGGGGAAUAUUGGACAAUGGGCGCAAGCCUGAUCCAGCAAUGCCGCGUGUGUGAAGAAGGCCUGCGGGUUGUAAAGCACUUUCAGUAGGGAGGAAAUCUUGGGAAUUAAUACUUUCCAAGCUUGACGUCACCUACAGAAGAAGCACCGGCUAACUCCGUGCCAGCAGCCGCGGUAAUACGGAGGGUGCGAGCGUUAAUCGGAAUUACUGGGCGUAAAGAGCGCGUAGGUGGCUUGGUAAGUCGGAUGUGAAAGCCCCGGGCUUAACCUGGGAAUGGCAUUCGAAACUGCCAGGCUAGAG